CGGCACGCCUAACACAUGCAAGUCGAACGAAGUAGCAAUACUUAGUGGCAGACGGGUGAGUAACAUGUGGGUAUCUACCCUUUGGCCUGGAAUAACACGAGGAAACUUGUGCUAAUACCGGAUAAGUCUUUACAGAGAAAGCUUUAUGCACCAUUGGAUGAGCCCGCAUUUGAUUAGUUUGUUGGUAGGGUAAUGGCCUACCAAGACUGUGAUCAAUAGCUGAUUUGAGAGGAUGAUCAGCCACAUUGGGACUGAGACACGGCCCAAACUCCUACGGGAGGCAGCAGUGGGGAAUCUUGCACAAUGGAGGAAACUCUGAUGCAGCGAUGCCGCGUGAGUGAAGAAGGCCCUUGGGUUGUAAAGCUCUUUCGUCGGGGAAGAAAAUGACUGUACCCGAAUAAGAAGGUCCGGCUAACUUCGUGCCAGCAGCCGCGGUAAUACGAAGGGACCUAGCGUAGUUCGGAAUUACUGGGCUUAAAGAGUUCGUAGGUGGUUGAAAAAGUUGGUGGUGAAAUCCCAGAGCUUAACUCUGGAACUGCCAUCAAAACUUUUCAGCUAGAGUUUGAUAGAGGAAAGCAGAAUUUCUAGUGUAGAGGUGAAAUUCGUAGAUAUUAGAAAGAAUACCAAUUGCGAAGGCAGCUUUCUGGAUCAUUACUGACACUGAGGAACGAAAGCAUGGGUAGCGAAGAGGAUUAGAUACCCUCGUAGUCCAUGCCGUAAACGAUGUGUGUUAGACGUUGGAAAUUUAUUUUCAGUGUCGCAGCGAAAGCGAUAAACACACCGCCUGGGG
rnacentral:rRNA from 1 species